rnacentral:rRNA from 1 species
GAGUUUGAUCCUGGCCAGGAUGACCGCUAGCGGCAGGCUUAAUACAUGCAAGUCGAGGGGCACCAUGACUGUAGCAAUACAGUUGAUGGCGACCGGCAAACGGGUGCGGAACACGUACAGAACCUUCCUUCAAGCGGGGAAUAGCCCAGAGAAAUUUGGAUUAAUACCCCAUAGCAUAACGGAGUGGCAUCACUUUGUUAUUAAAGAUUUAUCACUUGAAGAUGGCUGUGCGGCUGAUUAGGUAGUUGGCGGGGUAACGGCCCACCAAGCCUUCGAUCAGUAACUGGUGUGAGAGCACGACCAGUCACACGGGCACUGAGACACGGGCCCGACUCCUACGGGAGGCAGCAGUAAGGAAUAUUGGUCAAUGGACGAAAGUCUGAACCAGCCAUGCCGCGUGGAGGAUGAAGGUCCUCUGGAUUGUAAACUUCUUUUAUAUGGGACGAAAAAAGGCUUUUCUAAGUCGUCUGACGGUACCAUAUGAAUAAGCACCGGCUAACUCCGUGCCAGCAGCGCG